rnacentral:rRNA from 1 species
GGUCUAUAUACAAACUCUUAUAUUGUCUUGUAGAAUGUGUUAGCCUCUCGUUAGGCGAAACUUAAAUGCAACUUUCAACGACGGAUCUCUUGGCUCUCGCAUCGAUGAAGAACGCAGCGAAAUGCGAUAAGUAAUGUGAAUUGCAGAAUUCAGUGAAUCAUCGAAUCUUUGAACGCACCUUGCGCUCCUUGGUAUUCCGAGGAGCAUGCCUGUUUGAGUGUCAUGUUAAUAUCAACCCCGUCGGUUUGUAAAUCAGACCGUUGGGUGUUGGACUUGGAGGUUCUUGCUGGCUGCAAAGUCGGCUCCUCUUGAAUGCAUUAGCUUGGGCCUGUUGUGCGUACUCGCGGUGUAAUAAGUUUUAUUCAUCGUUUGGGUCGUACACUUAUUGGGCUUGCUUCUAACUGUCUUCGGACAAGCAUAACCUUUGACUCUGACCUCAAAUCAGGUAGGACUACCCGCUGAACUUAAGCAUAUCAAUAAGCGGAGGAAAAGAAACUAACAAGGAUUCCCCUAGUAACUGCGAGUGAAGCGGGAAAAGCUCAAAUUUAAAAUCUGGCGGUUUCACCGUCCGAGUUGUAAUCUGGAGAAGCGUUUUCCGUGC